rnacentral:misc_RNA from 1 species
UUUCCGUAGUGAACUGCGGAAGGAUCAUUAAUAAAUUUUUUUGAAAUAAAAAAAAAUAAUAAUCAUCUACCUUGUGAAUUUGUUUGUUGAAUAUUUUUUAAAAUUAUUUAUUGUCUAUCCAAGUUGGAAGUUGUAAAAGACUCGAAGACUUGGAGCGCAUAAAUAAAUUUAAGACUUUUUCUAAAUUAAACUUUUGUAUUCAUUGUCUAAAAUAUUUAUAAUAUAUAAAAACAACUUUUGACAAUGGAUCUCUUGGUUCUCGCAACGAUGAAGAACGCAGCAAAUGCGAUAAGUAAUGUGAAUUGCAGAAUACGUAAUCAUCGAAUCUUCGAACGCAUAUUGCACUUUCUAGUUUACUAAAAAGUAUGUCUGUUGAGUAUCAGUAAAAUAUCUCAUAAAUUUUUAAUUUUAUGUUAUGAGUGUUUACAACGAUAAACAAGUUGUUUCACUUUAAUUGAAUUUUUUGAGAAUUCUUAAUUCAAUUAAAUUGGAUAAAUUUCCCGUAAAAGGAUAACUAUACAAGUUUAAUAAGAAUUUAGUGAUUUUUUAUGAAAGAAAUUUAUUAAAUAACUUGAUCUCAAAUCAAUAAGAGUACCCGCUGAACUUAAGAUAUCAAUAAGCGGAGGAAAGAACUAACAAGGAUUCCCUAGUAACGGCGAGUGAAGCGGAAGAGCUCAAUUGAAAUCUUAAAGGGUUCCUUUACGAUUGUGUUUAAAGAAGGUUUUCUGUGAGUUUUGUAAAAGUUCUUUGAAUAGGACAUCAUAGAGGUGAGAAUCCGUAUUGACCUUUACUUUCAACUUUGUGAUACACUUUCAAAGAGUCGGAUGUUGGAAUGCAGUCCAAAUGGGGUAAAUUCAUCUAAAGCUAAAUAUGGCGAAAGACCGAUAGCGACAAGUACCGUGAGGAAAGAUGAAAAGAACUUGAAAGAGAGUAAACAGUACGUGAAAUGUCAAAAGGAAGCGUUUGAACCAGUGUUGUUUUCUGAAAUCAAUAAGAACUGUUUAUGCUAAUGUUUAGACUUAUCAGCUAACUGUUAGUUUUGAGCUUUCUUUAAUGCACUUUCAGUUAACAAGUCAACAUCAACUUCUUUUGCUGUAAAAAGCUUGAGGAAGGUGGCUUGAAUUCGUCUUAAGUUUUAGCCUUGCCUAUGCAGUCGGAAGAUUGAGUUGCAGCGUAGAUCCUUCGGGCUAAAUGCAUUGUGCUAAGUUAUAGCAUUUAUAGAUAACUGUGACAUGAUUGUCUUGUAGCUACUCGCUUAUGUUAUUUUACCUACGCUUAGGAUGU